UACGGAAGGGGCAAGCGUUGUUCGGAAUCAUUGGGCGUAAAGGGCGCGUAGGCGGCCACCGCAAGUCAAUUGUGAAAUCUCCGGGCUUAACCCGGAAAGGUCAACUGAUACUGCGGGGCUAGAGUGCGGAAGGGGCAACUGGAAUUCUCGGUGUAGCGGUGAAAUGCGUAGAUAUCGAGAGGAACACCUGCGGCGAAGGCGGGUUGCUGGGCCGACACUGACGCUGAUGCGCGAAAGCCAGGGGAGCGAACGGG
rnacentral:rRNA from 1 species